UACGGAGGGUGCAAGCGUUAUCCGGAUUUACUGGGUUUAAAGGGUGUGUAGGCGGGCUUUUAAGUCAGUGGUGAAAUCUCCGGGCUCAACCUGGAAACUGCCAUUGAUACUAUUAGUCUUGAAUUCUGUUGAGGUAGGCGGAAUAAGUCAUGUAGCGGUGAAAUGCAUAGAUAUGACGUAGAACACCAAUUGCGAAGGCAGCUUACUAAGCAGAUAUUGACGCUGAGGCACGAAAGCGUGGGGAUCAAACAGG
rnacentral:rRNA from 1 species